rnacentral:rRNA from 1 species
UAUUGGGCAAUGGUCGGAAGACUGACCCAGCCAUGCCGCGUGCAGGAAGAAGGCCUAUUGGGUUGUAAACUGCUUUUAUCUGGGAAGAAAAGGCCCGUGCGCGGGACAUUGCCGGUACCAGAUGAAUAAGCACCGGCUAACUCCGUGCCAGCAGCCGCGGUAAUACGGAGGGUGCAAGCGUUGUCCGGAUUUAUUGGGUUUAAAGGGUGCGUAGGCGGCUAUUUAAGUCAGCGGUGAAAGACUCCGGCUCAACCGGAGCAGUGCCAUUGAUACUGGGUAGCUUGAGUGUUGGAGGGGUACAUGGAAUUGAUGGUGUAGCGGUGAAAUGCAUAGAUACCAUCAGGAACACCGAUAGCGAAGGCAUUGUACUGGCCAACAACUGACGCUGAGGCACGAAAGCAUGGGGAGCGAACAGG